rnacentral:rRNA from 1 species
UACGGAGGGUGCAAGCGUUAUCCGGAUUCACUGGUUUUAAAGGGUGCGUAGGCGGGCAGGUAAGUCCGUGGUGAAAUCUCUGAGCUUAACUCAGAAACUGCCAUGGAUACUAUUUGUCUUGAAUAUUGUGGAGGUAAGCGGAAUAUGUCAUGUAGCGGUGAAAUGCUUAGAUAUGACAUAGAACACCAAUUGCGAAGGCAGCUUACUACACAGUUAUUGACGCUGAGGCACGAAAGCGUGGGUAGCAAACAGG